rnacentral:lncRNA from 1 species
CAGGGAUAUGAUGUUCACAUUGACCCCCUACAACAUUCAGGACAGGCAUUUGCACUGGGGAAAUGAAGUACUCUGCAUGAGAUGGAACGAGAUAAACAGAGUUUCUACGCUGAAGAACAACUGUGUAGGAGAAAGCAAAGAUCUUUACAUGGAGAUCCAACAGAUCAUGAAUUCUCUGUUCAACUUUCUGAUUGCUGUGCUUCUCCCAAUUUCUUCUGUGUGUAGGAUUUUGCAAGUCCAUUCAGAGACACAGAGCAAAAGUGAAAGGCUGUCUGUCAUUCCUAAGGCCCGGGCAUGGGGAGAGAUAUCCAGUUAUCUUCUGCAUGUAGAAGACAAGCUUUCUCUCCAACAGACCUCAUGGCUAGGAGCUACAGAGCUGCCUGCUCCCGUGGAGGUUGUCUGUGAUGGAGCCUGUGCACUUCCUCUUUUUGAAUAUCUACCCUAAGAGUCAGGCUGGAUGUGGACAGGAGUCCUUACUUAGUUCACUGAAGACCUGAGGCCUACAUGCCUGAGAGAGAAAAGGAAAAAUCUUGGCAGAUUGCUAACAUAUCAAAUGUUAAUGAAUACAGUUCUCUAAUUAGAAAUGUCUGCAAGAACUGAGUAAUAGGAUCUUUUGAAAAAGUGACAGCUUUUAAUUUCUUUUGUUAGUCAAGUUUAUACUUUUCUAUAUUAGAGCUUUUAUCAAAUUGGCAUCAGUCUUUAGGAAUGACAAUAAUACUCAAAAUACAAAUACAGUUUCUUUUGAAAUAAUUGGCUCUAAACUGCUCAGCAUCAAGCAUUUACUGGAUUUAAUUGUGAAUUGGCUUAAUAUUAAUUAAAAUAACUCCCAUCCUCAGUGUGAAGUUUCAGGAGAUGCAGAUGUUUUCUUCUGUGUGCCCACCUCUAUUUUAUACCAACCCCCCAAAGCAGAACAAAAUGCUGAAGAUCCAGAACAGCACAUAAACAUUAUGUGGCCCUUGAAGUCAUAUAAAAGAGCCUGAAAGAGAUGGUUUCUUUCAUUCUUGGCCAGAAAGCGAUAGACAAACAGGUAAAAAGGCAAGGAGAAAAAUACCAUUUACUCACUGUAGCAGCAGGAAAUUCAAGCAAAGAAAAUAAACAGGGUUUGAAUUCUGGGCCUUUAACCUGU